GUGGCCCAUUGUUCACAGUCUUCUAAACUGUAUUCUGGUUUUCAAUGACGAAGCACAGGAACAAAAUAAUCCUUCAGCUCAGUUUUUUCCUUGUGCUCUAUUUGUUCUCUUUGCUGCAAAUGGGUUCAUUAGAAACAAAGAGGCAUUAUUUUCACAAAGAUCACUUGGAGCAAUUUUACUCUGUUGUUAAAGGGAUCACUAAAGAGAUGUUUGCUCUGGCUUCCCCAUGCCUCCGGGUCACAGUGUAAGAUUCCCUGGCACAUUAAAUGUUAUAUACUUGCCAGUGUCGUAGAAGAUAUGAUAAUAAACCAGCAUCAAACGUAACUUUUUUGUACACAAAGCUCCUGAUGUAACACACAAAGAGGGAGGUGAAAGCUAUCUAAAAGCCGUAAUAGUUCCAGUUCUACUCCUCUGAUCUGCAUUUUCUAAAGUAAGUUAUAAUUUUAAAUUAUUAGAAGUGAACUAAAUACCAUUUGUACAUACAUAAUCAAAUACGCAUUUGGUCAUUAUAUUUGAGAUGACUUAAACCAUAUUAAAAGAUAUGAGAGCCUUUGCCUUCUGAGUAAAUAAAACAUUAUCUUUCUAAACUAAGCAGAACAAUUUUUUGGAAUUGUGACACAGGUAAACCUUAAUUUUGUCAUUUACUUAUCUUGCAGUAUAAAUUCCUUGCUUGUACAAACACAAAUUAUUUUUUUGCAUGUUUAGGCAAAGGAUGGGGCUACCACGGGAAGUUUUGUUCCAGCACAAGCCAGAUGGGAGAGAUGCCUACUUUACAGUUUCCCUGAAGAUAAAAGGAACUUUGCCCCUCUGGUUGUUUCCUCUCUUUCUGCUCCCUCUAGGGCCAUGGACAAUAUGAAAAGAAAGUGCAAACCCCCACAACAAUUGAAGCAAUUCCUAGCUUCAAUUCAGAGGAUUCAAGAACUUCUGCUUAAGAGAAUAUUUGACUUUAAAUACAGACCACAGAAUUGCUUAGGAACAAAAAUUGUACUUAAAAAAAGAGUAAAUUAAAAUGUACACAAUAUCCUUAAAAUCAGACCUUAACAGUAUUUUAAUUUUUUUCUACAGAAAUAAAUUAUAAUUGAUAUGA